rnacentral:rRNA from 1 species
UGGGGAAUUUUCCGCAAUGGGCGAAAGCCUGACGGAGCAAUACCGCGUGAGGGAGGAAGGCUUUUGGGUUGUAAAGCCCUUUCAGUCGUGACGAUGAUGACGGUAGCGACAGAAGAAGCCCCGGCUAACUCCGUGCCAGCAGCCGCGGUAAUACGGAGGGGGCAAGCGUUGUUCGGAUUUACUGGGCGUAAAGGGCGCGUAGGCGGACGGUCAAGUCAGAGGUGAAAGGCCCGGGCUCAACCUGGGACGUGCCUUUGAAACUGAUUGUCUUGAGUGCGGAAGAGGGUGACGGAAUUCCCAGUGUAGAGGUGAAAUUCGUAGAUAUUGGGAAGAACACCGGUGGCGAAGGCGGUCACCUGGUCCGCAACUGACGCUGAGGCGCGAAAGCGUGGGGAGCAAACAGGAUUAGAUACCCCCGUAGUCC